rnacentral:rRNA from 1 species
AGCGAACGCUGGCGGCGUGCUUAACACAUGCCAGUCGAACGGUGAAGGCGGAGCUUGCUCUGCUGGAUCAGUGGCGAACGGGUGAGUAACACGUGAGCAAUCUGCCCCUGACUCUGGGAUAAGCGCUGGAAACGGCGUCUAAUACUGGAUACGAGCUGCGAAGGCAUCUUCAGCAGCUGGAAAGAACUUCGGUCAGGGAUGAGCUCGCGGCCUAUCAGCUUGUUGGUGAGGUAACGGCUCACCAAGGCGUCGACGGGUAGCCGGCCUGAGAGGGUGACCGGCCACACUGGGACUGAGACACGGCCCAGACUCCUACGGGAGGCAGCAGUGGGGAAUAUUGCACAAUGGGCGAAAGCCUGAUGCAGCAACGCCGCGUGAGGGACGACGGCCUUCGGGUUGUAAACCUCUUUUAGCAGGGAAGAAGCGAAAGUGACGGUACCUGCAGAAAAAGCGCCGGCUAACUACGUG